AACGCACCUUGCGCUCGCUGGUAUUCCGGCGAGCAUGCCUGUUUGAGUGUCAUGAACUCUUCAACCCUCCAAUUCCUUGUUGAAUUGCGAGGUGUUUGGUUUCUGAACGUUGCUGGCUCCCUCGAGAGUGAAGCUCGUUUGUAAUACAUUAGCAUCUCAAUUUUGAAGCAUUUCGGAUUGACUCGGCGUAAUAGACUUUAUUCGCUGAGGAACACUUUUACUAGUGUGCCGAAUUUCAGAGUAGAAGCUACUAAUCUCUUCAUUAUUUGAAGUCUCCAAGAUUAGACCUCAGAUCAGGUAGGACUACCCGCUGAACUUAA
rnacentral:misc_RNA from 1 species